CCUCGGGGUCCAAAGUGAGUUGUUUUUUUAUUGUACUAAAUCUGUUUGGUGUUGCUCAGCAACAGUAAAGAAAUGUGCAUGUUGUUGAUUAUAUGAUGAUUGUCAUGAUAUGUAACAUGUGAAUAUUCAUCUUGCUGAUUUUUUGUCCCCCUUUGCUAAAACAGCGAAUGAAUGGAGAGGAGAGAAAACAAAGUUAUUAGCGGAAAUGUCCAUUCUCAAGGAACGAAGGGACGAGUUAGAAGCCAAAAACACUGAACUCAAAGAUGACAGAGAUGACUGGCAGAAAAGGUUUUGUCGAGUGAGGCCGAAUAAUAGGAAUUGUCCGAAGCCUGAUGGUCCCUGAUGAAGAAAGUAACAAGUGGAUGUGACGUGGCUGACCACAGAGAAGUAGCAGCGUGUUACAUAUUUUACAUCAACCAAAUGAAGACUUUUUGUGUCAGAAGAAUAUACUGAAACAACAGCUUCCACACUAUGUUACUGCUCUGAUUACUUAUGUUGCAUUAGCUCAUUGGUCUUUCAAAUAAAUGUUUACAUAAUAUUGUUACAAAGGAGAGUUGGUUACUACCUGAUCGCCUGAAUCUCACACUGCAGCUUUAACUACAGCUUUGCUUUAUCAAAUAUCAUUACUAUUAAGUUCAGUGGCUAUGUACUGUUUGUUCUGAUUCAUGAUGUACAGUUACACCGCACAGAGGUCACAGUGAGCUUGUCGGCCUGUCUGGGUUUGUUUCUGUUGUGUAUUUUGCAGAAACUGUAAGUUUAGCAUGAAAAUGAUGUUGAAUAAUAACCAAACUUUGGUCCCAUGUUCUUUACAAUAAUACUUUAAUAAAUG